GUGUGUGAGGCCAUCUCCGUCGAAUGUGUUUUGUGCGGCUUCCUGGGCUGGCAUAGGGUCUACUGAAAGUACCAUGGCGGCCACUGAAAUAGCCAGGCAAGCGGGAGAAGGUGCUCGGGCUGUACCUCUUGCCGGCCAUGUUGGCUUUGACAGCAUGCCUGACCAGCUGGUCAACAAGUCUGUCAACCAUGGCUUUUGCUUCAACAUCCUCUGCGUCGGGGAGACGGGUCUGGGGAAGUCCACUCUUAUGGACACCUUGUUCAACACCAAGUUCGAGGGUGAGCCAACACAGCACAACCAGCCUGGAGUCCAGCUCAAGUCCAACACCUACGAGCUCCAGGAAAGCAACGUGCGUCUCAAACUCACCAUGGUCAACACUGUGGGCUUUGGAGACCAGAUCAACAAAGAGGACAGUUACAAGUCCAUUGUGGAGUUCAUCGAUGCCCAGUUUGAGUACUAUCUGCAGGAGGAGCUGAAGAUCAAGCGGACGCUACACAGCUACCACGACACACGCAUCCACGCCUGCCUCUACUUCAUCGCCCCCACUGGACACUCCCUCAAAUCCCUGGACCUGGUCACCAUGAAGAAACUGGACAGCAAGGUCAACAUCAUUCCCAUCAUUGCCAAGUCAGAUGCCAUCUCCAAAAGUGAGCUGACCAAGUUCAAAAUCAAGAUCACCAGUGAGCUGGUCAGCAAUGGAGUCCAGAUCUACCAGUUCCCUACUGACGACGAGACGGUGGCAGAGAUCAACUCCACCAUGAACGCUCAUUUGCCCUUCGCCGUGGUAGGCAGCACCGAAGAGGUGAAGAUCGGCAACAAGAUGGUGAAGGCGCGACAGUACCCCUGGGGGACGGUGCAGGUGGAGAACGAGAACCACUGCGACUUUGUGAAGCUGCGAGAGAUGCUGAUCAGGGUGAACAUGGAGGACCUGAGGGAGCAGACACACACACGGCACUACGAGCUCUACCGCCGCUGCAAACUGGAGGAGAUGGGCUUCAAGGACACAGACCCCGACAGCAAGCCCUUCAGUCUGCAGGAGACCUACGAGGCCAAGAGGAACGAGUUCAUGGGUGAGCUGCAGAAGAAGGAGGAGGAGAUGAGGCAGAUGUUCGUCCAGAGGGUCAAGGAGAAGGAGGCCGAGCUCAAAGAGGCAGAGAAAGAGCUGCACGAUAAGUUUGACCGCCUGAAGAAGCUCCACCAGGAUGAGAAGAAGAAGCUGGAGGACAAGAAGAAGUCCCUGGACGAUGAGCUGAACAUGUUCAAGCAGAAAAAGACUGCUGCUGAGCUCCUGCUAAACCAAGCCCAGCAAGCAGGGGGCUCCACCACACUCAAGCGCGACAAGGAGAGGAAAAACUGAUGUGACCCCUGUCACCCACCUAUUAGAAAGGAAGAAGACACUUGCACUGAGAAGGUUCUUAAUUCUUUCUUUUUUUUUUCUUUCUUGGUUAUUUCCCUGACAGUUUUGUCAUUUCCCCCGCUGUCUCCAAAUCUCUUCUUGAUUUUCCACCAGGCAACUGUGUUCCUUCAAACACAGGGCCCUUUUGUCUGUCCAUACACCAUGUCUAUGGGUAACUGAGGCAAACAGGACUUCCUAGGACUAGGUGAUGAGAGGGGGUGUGGUCUCGUUUAGAUCCUUGAAUCCAAAGACGGGGUCUUCAGUUUCCUCAGUAACCAAAAGACAUGCAGAUUAUUGCAUGUUUGUUCUGUGAUAAUAGUUGUGACACGGGGGCAUGUGCAUGUGUAUGUAUGAAUGUACGUGUCAAUAUUGUUGCAUCCAUGUUUUCCAGUUAACUACUCCCUGCAUGCUGCAUGAGACACCCUAUGCUGUUCAGGAUUCCCGUAGAAAAGUGCACCCUCAACCAGCUGUGAAUGAGUUUUCACCCCAUCCUCCCUGCAGUGCUUCUGCCCUGCCCUGCCCUCACCCUUUCCCCAUUCCAACCCCACAUAUGCCCCCUGCUUUGUGGAAGAAUCAAGCCAUUACUGUGAAUGGAAUCCUUGACUCGGAAGCAUCCUUUUUUGUGCUAAAGAUGCUUGUUUUUUGUAUGGUGUUGCGCAAGCCAUUAUUCAGCUUUUUUAUGGAAAGUAUCUUAUCCUUAGAAAAAAAAUCUGUGUAGCUGUUAAGCAUGAUUGAGUGUGCGUUUAACAUUAACAUGCUUUGUCACUGGCAGGAGUUUUUCGAUGCAGAGAUUAAACACAAACUGUAGUAUGACUAAGCCAAUAGAGUGUGCUUGCCUGCGUAGUUACUUAGACUCUCCACACUACUCACUUAUGUCCUUUCAAAGAUUGAAUUAUGUUCUAGACAAUUAUUAUAAAGAGAAAGUCAUAUAAAAAAUCCUAAUGUAUGAGGCUAUACAUUCACAUAAUACUCCACCCUGGAACAGAGUGGUAUUAUUCUAUAGCUAAUGUUGUUUCACUCUAGCAUGGUGCAUGUGCAAACAUUAGCUUAAUACUCUCAUCUUCUCCUGCCAUACAUGAAUCAUGGAUUGUUACGCCAUAUCUGCUUACUUGUUUUAGCCUUCACGUUUUGACAUUUUCACAAAUAUUAUUUUAUAUAUUGUCAGUGCAACUGUGACUUUCCUAUGCACUAAAUCACAUUUGAAGCCAUCUAACCAAAUAGCAAUCACAUGGAAAUCAGUAUUGCAUUUGUAUCAAUGUUAAACAAAAGAAACUUUAUUUCCGAAGGUAAUAAAGGGCAAAUUUCAAAUGUUUUAACUGUGAAAACUAUUAAUUUGUAUUACAAUGGGACAAUGUAACACAGUUCUUGAGUACAGUGGGUGUAUAUGAGAAAUAAUUCAGGUGUCAAUCUCAGUGUGUGGCUGUUGUGCACAGAUUAAAUGCUGAAAGAUCUCAGUCAUUAGACCAAAAUGGUUGACUGGAUUUGAGUCUCACCUAUGCUUAGAUAGUAUAUGUUUUGUCCAUAAAAGGAUCUCCGGAACCACUUUAAGCAUGUAAGUGUAUCCAUGCUCAAAAACCCCAGUGUACCCCACCCACUACAAGACAUUUGAGUUUGAGGAGUCCAAAGGUAAUUGCUUUAUUUUUCUUCAAAAUGAUCAAAAUGUGUAACUCACACAGAGGCAUGGUCUUCCUCUUUUUGGUCUGACACAUUCUCACACAGCGUGUAGCUGUGUGCAGCUUCUCACCCUGACGUCUCAGGUUUCUCUGUCUCAGUAAACGGUUGUCCUAUCUAAGCUCCAUGUGGUGGUAGGGAGUAUUUAAUGUGUGUUGUAUUAUCCGCUCAUUGCUCUGUGUGUAUUCACUUUCCUUUGCAGUAAUCCCUGGCUCUGCACUGAGUAGGUCCUCCGCCCCAAGCUUUGCUAAGGGACCAGGCUUUAUGGGCACAACGAGUACCCAAUGCUGAGGCUAUGUGGACCCCACCCUACAAUGUUUUCUAAAUAUCAUGUUCUCUGCAUAAUAUGUAUUAACCAAAGAAUAUAUGUAUUUCACUGCUGCUCUAACCUUUCUAUACUUGCUGUGAGACUAAAUGGGCAACUUGCUUAUUUGUUUGUGCUUUUACAUCUGCUGUGUGACUAAAAUCAUGCUAAUUUAUUAUGUGGCGUUUUUUUGUGAUGAUUUUACCAAUAUGACCAUUGAUAUUUGCUUUUUUAAAUAGACACUUGUUGAUCAUUGUUGUUCACUAUCACGUUUAUGCUCUGUUGUAGUAUUGACUAACUGACAACAAACACCACUGUGUUUCCAAUGUCAGGGCAUUGUUGCAUUUGCAGUUAACCAAUAUACAUGUUAUUAUUUAAAAUCAAUCUAAUGCAUAUCAAGAACAUAAAUGUAGGCAUUUAUCAAAGCAGUGUGUGCUACAGUCUUACCUUAGUUCAUACGUCUAAGUCUUCUCUGAUAGUAAUGUUGGCAAAACACUACCGCUUUCCGACUGAACUAUCCAAAGUCUUAAGUCUUGAUAUUGAAUCUUUCCACCGGUAAAAUGAUCUUGCUGGCUUCUUACGUAUGACUUCUAACCUGCACUUACUGUAUCUGUUUCUCUCUCUUUCUCUUUAGCUUCUUUUAAUCUGUCUUGGCCACCUGUCUGAAGAGGGGAUUGCAGCUUCAACAAGAACUAAGCACCCAUUCCUCUCUAGAACUAAGACCUCUUCCUGUCUUUUUCACUGCAUCAACCUUUUUUAACUUCCAUCUCAUCUGCUUUAUUGAAUAUGGCCUUAUGUGGGCUUCACAUGGUAUUUAAUUUUGUAUUCAUGUUUUGCCACCAAAUAACUGUACACUUCAGCAAGUGGUAGGCCUGUACAAAUACAUUUACGGCCAUGGUGAAUAUGAACAAAGCUGUGUCUAUGCAUGUGCUUAAAAAUGUUGUAGAAGAUAAUCACAGCUAACUAAUAUAUGUUCAUAAACCAUUUUGCUACUGCCAAGGGUUCCUCAUUAAUUUAGCAUCACAUACAUUUUUGGACAAUCAUCAUUUUCAAUUUGCCACCGGAGACAAGGGCUUUGUUUCAUAAAUUCUUAAUACUCUUAAAAAAGGUAGUUUUCCCUCAAAUAUUUAACAAAUACUAGGCCCAAAGACAUACUUGUGUUGUUAAAGUUAAACACAUGUACUGUUAAAUAUUUCUUAGGAAAUUCUGUCCAUAGUGAUCUACUUUGUACCAUCAUUGCUAUCCAAAUGAAGAUAAAACAUAGCCUAUGUAUUCCUUCUCAUUUAUUUGAUUAUGCCUUGCUGGAUUUUUUUAUUUUGUCUUGAAGCUACUUGGUGACAAAAGACAAAGGUUUUCCUUGAUUAAAUACCAUGUAGGUCACAUUUAAUGCUCCUUACACAUUGUGCAUUAAUUCUCACCUGCCAAUUUUGUAAUAUGCAUGUCUUAUUUGAUUUAUUUUGUUUUUAUCAUGUGAACUUGACUUUUCCCUCCAUUGUUGUUUUCACCCAUUACAGAUCUGUUUUGCACUCUUUCUUAAAUACUCCUUUUGUUUGACCGGUGCUUAUCUUGUGUGUUCUUUCCAAGUAUGCAUACUUUUGCUCUAUCCACAAAUUUUAGCACCCAUAUUGCCAAAUAUUAUAAUGAGAUGGAGUUUAAUUCCAGAUGUGGAAAAACAGAAAGAUACUCAUGCAUUUGUAUAAUUUAUAAGGAUAUAUUUUGUGUAUUGAAGUGGAGACCUGUUGUUUAUGAAAUAUGAUAUUUGGACGUGACUCUCCUCUCUAUGUAAAGUAACAUUGUGGUGUAAGAAAUUGACAUACAUUUUUCUAGCAUCAGCCAAAUUCACCUCUCCUAGUCCAUAACCCUACCACUUCACAAAUUGCUUAUAAAAUAUCUGAUUGUAGUUUGAUCCCAUUGAUGUACAUUUUCAAUAAAAUUAUUAAUUAAAA